GAUAAACGCUGGCGGCGUGCAUAACACAUGCAAGUCGAACGAUGAAACUUAGCUGAUUUCUUCGGAAUGAAAUUAAGUGGAUUAGUGGCGAACGGGUGAGUAACACGUGAGUAACCUGCCUUACACAAGGGGAUAGCCUUUGGAAACGAAGAAUAAUACCCUAUAACGUCAAUUUAUCGCAUGAUAAAAUGACCAAAGAUUUAUCGGUGUAAGAUGGACUUGCGUCUGAUUAGCUAGUUGGUGAGAUAAAAGCCCACCAAGGCGACGAUCAGUAGCCGGCUUGAGAGAGUGUACGGCCACAUUGGGACUGAGACACGGCCCAAACUCCUACGGGGGGCAGCAGUGGGGAAUUUUGCACAAUGGGGGAAACCCUGAUGCAGCGACGCCGCGUGAUUUAGAAGGCCUUCGGGUUGUAAAAAUCUUUUUUAUGGGAUGAAAAUGACAGUACCAUAAGAAUAAGGUCCGGCUAAAUACGUGCCAGCAGCCGCGGUAAUACGUAUGGACCGAGCGUUGUCCGGAAUCAUUGGGCGUAAAGGGUACGUAGGCGGCCUAGUAAGUUAGAAGUGAAAUAAUAUAGCUCAACUAUAUAAAGCUUUUAAAACUGUUAGGCUUGAGAGAUGAAAGGGAAAGUGGAAUUCCUAGUGUAGCGGUGAAAUGCGCAGAUAUUAGGAAGAAUACCGGUGGCGAAGGCGACUUUCUGGUCAUCAUCUGACGCUGAGGUACGAAAGCGUGGGUAGCAAACAGGAUUAGAUACCCUGGUAGUCCACGCUGUAAACGAUGAGUGCUAGGUUCUUGGAAUAAUCUGGGAGCCGCAGCUAACGCAUUAAACACUCCGCCUGGGGAGUACGCACGCAAGUGUG
rnacentral:rRNA from 1 species